GCAAACUUGGUCAUUUAGAGGAAGUAAAAGUCGUAACAAGGUUUCCGUAGGUGAACCUGCGGAAGGAUCAUUACAAAUCCAUCCACGUCUCCCUCAAAAGAGACCACGUUGAAAUGUUUCUCUUCCUGCGCCGCCUGACCGAGAGAGAUAUCUAUCUCUCUUGCCAGUGCGCGGUUGAGCACUCUCUACCUUCUCUCUAGGGAGGAGGUAGGGUUACAAACUGCAUUUUGUUGCCCAAAUGUAUUUUCACUAGUUGAUUUCAACUAUAAGUACAACUUAUAACAAUGGAUCUCUAGGCUCUUGCAUCGAUGAAGAACGCAGC
rnacentral:misc_RNA from 1 species